UCCUGUGUUGGUUGCCUAACGUGACGGAAAUCGUCCUCGGAUGAGUCCCAAUUUGCGCCUUKCACCCACGCGUGGUGUUAGGUUGACGUGGAAGUACGACCCRUUCUCCUUAKUGCUUCGCCCUUUUGCGUUGCAAUCAUGGACCAUGGGYCGUUACUCGUUCCCUCGGAUUCAGAACUUUUGAAGGGUGCACAGCAUGUUGCUGUUGUUUACCCACGAAGCGUUCRUCGGUCGGUGCGUACGACGGCUGUGCCCGCCUUGUCCCCCUAUCUAACGAGUUUAGAUGGGGCUCAUGCGGUGCUGGCGUCGAUAAGGAAUGCUACCUGGUUGAUCCUGCCAGUAGUCAUAUGCUUGUCUCAA
rnacentral:misc_RNA from 1 species